rnacentral:rRNA from 1 species
AGCGAACGCUGGCGGCAGGCCUAACACAUGCAAGUCGAACGAACCCUUCGGGGUUAGCGGCGGACGGGUGAGUAACACGUGGGAACGUGCCUUUAGGUUCGGAAUAACUCAGGGAAACUUGUGCUAAUACCGAAUGUGCCCUUCGGGGGAAAGAUUUAUCGCCUUUAGAGCGGCCCGCGUCUGAUUAGCUAGUUGGUGAGGUAAUGGCUCACCAAGGCUACGAUCAGUAGCUGGUCUGAGAGGAUGACCAGCCACAUUGGGACUGAGACACGGCCCAAACGCCUACGGGAGGCAGCAGUGGGGAAUCUUGCGCAAUGGGCGAAAGCCUGACGCAGCCAUGCCGCGUGGAUGAUGAAGGUCUUAGGAUUGUAAAAUCCUUUCACCGGUGAAGAUAAUGACUGUAGCCGGAGAAGAAGCCCCGGCUAACUUCGUGCCAGCCGCCGCGGUAACAC